rnacentral:lncRNA from 1 species
CCUGAGCGAUUUGAAUGCUGAUGACAAGGGCGUCGUUGUGCGGUAGAUCAAGGCCGAUUAAGUCUUUCUUUUGAAAGCCGAUCACGGGAUCGUCUUCUGCUAGUGAGAAACUAGUUGAGACUUGGGAGAUCAUAGUAGCCUGUUUGAUCUUCCUCUUCUUUUCUUUGUUGGUCAGUCCGGACUUCUCAGAGUCGGCUAGGAUUGUGUUAAUCCUUAUGACCUUCUGGGGUGGCUCCUUCGCGGUAUCGCGGUCUUCUAUCUGCUGGAUGGCCUGCUUCGCGAUGAACUCCGUGCAAUGUCCUUCUCUUACGAGUUCUUUGAGAUGCGCUUUCCAAGCAAAGCGUCGUAUUGUGCCCAUGUGUCGC